rnacentral:lncRNA from 10 species
AGAAAGUCUCUCAGGAUGGUAGAAAGCAUGCAUAUAAUGAGAGAGUCAACUCAGACAAGUAUCCUACAUUUCUUCAAACUAUAAAAUAGCUAGUAUCCAGAGGACUUGUGCUGAAUCAACUUUAUUUAAAUAGAAUAUUGCUGCAUGUUCACAAGAGAAGGCCAUACCUUUUCCUCUGCAUAAUAAUAUAAGCCUUUAUGUUUUUCAGAAAGAAAAUUCUCAGAACAUUAAAGAGUGCAGAAACUCUCAUUAUUCAAGAAGUUAGGUAGAAGAAAUGUGAUGACUCUGAAUUCAAUAAAAGGCAAGUUUUAUUCCAAACAGUGGAUUCAUUUUUAUUAGGCACUCUAUGUUUUUAUGGUAAUUGCCAGUACAGUUUAUGCAAGGAAGUCUGAACUAUGGACUAAUAUAAGUUUCACAAUCUUCUGUACAAAGAAAGUAAGGCCAUGUAUUAAACGCCUCAAUUAUUACAUACCUAUCCUGGCAAAUCGCUGACCCAAUUCUCUAGGAAUACAAAUGUGAAUAAAUCUCUGUCUCACAAGGAUUCGUUGCAAAUAUAUCACCCUUGGGGACAGUAAGCUCACCUUCCUGAUCCAAUCCUGAUGGGCUGUACUCUCCAAGUUGCUCCUGACUAAUAUGGAUUUUCUGGACUUGUAUUGCUGUGUGCCGGCCCUGUCCACAUCGAGGUUAGUUUUCAGGCCACUGGCAUUUUACC